rnacentral:rRNA from 1 species
CCUACGGGGGGCUGCAGUGGGGAAUCUUCCGCAAUGGGCGAAAGCCUGACGGAGCAACGCCGCGUGAACGAGGAAGGUCUUCGGAUCGUAAAGUUCUGUUGCAAGGGACGAAUGGCAGUAGUGCUAAUAUCGCUAUUGCAUGACGGUACCUUGUUAGAAAGCCACGGCUAACUACGUGCCAGCAGCCGCGGUAAUACGUAGGCGGCAAGCGUUGUCCGGAAUCAUUGGGCGUAAAGGGAGCGUAGGUGGAUAUUUAAGUGGAUCUUAAAAGUGCGGGGCUCAACCCCGUGAUGGGGUCCAAACUGAAUAUCUUGAGUGCAGGAGAGGAAAGCGGAAUUCCUAGUGUAGCGGUGAAAUGCGUAGAUAUUAGGAAGAACACCAGUGGCGAAGGCGGCUUUCUGGACUGUAACUGACACUGAGGCUCGAAAGCCAGGGUAGCGAACGGGCUUAGAUACCCCAGUAGUC